rnacentral:rRNA from 1 species
UACGUAGGGGGCAAGCGUUGUCCGGAUUUAUUGGGCGUAAAGAGCGUGUAGGCGGCCUGACAGGUCUGCUGUGAAAACUCGAGGCUCAACCUCGAGAUGUCGGCGGAAACCGUCUGGCUAGAGUCCGGAAGAGGAGAGUGGAAUUCCUGGUGUAGCGGUGAAAUGCGCAGAUAUCAGGAAGAACACCUAUGGCGAAGGCGGUUCUCUGGGCCUUACCUGACGCUGAGGAGCGAAAGCGUGGGGAGCGAACAGG